AGAGUUUGAUCAUGGCUCAGAACGAACGCUGGCGGCGUGGAUAAGACAUGCAAGUCGAGCGCUGAUUUCAAGGUAGCAAUAUUUUGAAGUCGGAGCGGCGCAAGGGUGCGUAACACGUGGGUAAUCUGCCAUGAAGUCCGGGAUAACUUGCUGAAAGGCGAGCUAAUACCGGAUGUGACAACCGGGAGGCAUCUUCUGGUUGUUAAAGUUGGGGACCGUAAGGCCUGACGCUUCUUGAUGAACCCGCGGCCUAUCAGCUAGUUGGUGAGGUAACGGCUCACCAAGGCUAAGACGGGUAGCUGGUCUGAGAGGACGACCAGCCACACUGGAACUGAGACACGGUCCAGACACCUACGGGUGGCAGCAGUCGAGAAUUUUUCACAAUGGGCGCAGGCCUGAUGGAGCGACGCCGCGUGGGGGAUGAAUGGCUUCGGCCCGUAAACCCCUGUCAUUCGCGAUCAACCCGCAUUAUUUAAAAGAUGAUGCGCUGAUAGUAGCGGAAGAGGAAGGGACGGCUAACCCUGUGCCAGCAGCCGCGGUAAUACAGAGGUCCCAAGCGUUGUUCGGAUUCACUGGGCGUAAAGGGUGCGUAGGUGGUGAGGAAAGUCGGAUGUGAAAUCUCGGAGCUCAACUCCGAAAUGGCAUUGGAAACUACCUUGCUCGAGGAAUGGAGGGGGGACUGGAAUUCUCGGUGUAGCAGUGAAAUGCGUAGAUAUCGAGAGGAACACCAGUGGCGAAAGGCGAGUCCCUGGACAUCUCCUGACACUGAGGCACGAAAGCUAGGGGAGCAAACAGGAUUAGAUACCCUGGUAGUCCUAGCCGUAAACGGUGCGUGUUUGCUGUAAAAGGAAUCGACCCCUUUUGUGGCGGAGCCAACGCGUUAAACACGCCGCCUGGGAAGUACGGUCGCAAGAAUAAAACUCAAGGA
rnacentral:rRNA from 1 species